GCAAGUAUCUGGUUACUUUUUGGGUGGAGAAGAGGCAUCAUGGGAAGAAGGCUGUACUUUGUAGGUGGGAGAAGCCAUCUUUUAAGAAAUUCUAAGGGAGAAGCAUUCCCUUUCCUCUGUGCUGUAUCAGCAGUUGCUCCUCUUGAUACCAGACUACUUCCCUUGAGCUGCCCAAGGAGACCCCAGGUCUUGUCAAGAGAAGAACAUGAACAGAUAACUCGUCUUAUCAACAUGGAGGACAAACACAUAUAGAAGGAGAUCAAAUAAUGAAGAAGGAGUGUUUCCUAGACCUACUGGCAACUAAAUAGUCAUAAAAAGACACCAAAAGAGAGAUCACAGAGAAGGUGUUUA